UUACAUAAUGAACUUGAAUUUUUUUGUACUCUUGGAAAAUUCUCGCUUCAAAAAGUCGUUUCAUUUAUUUUGAAAUGUGUGGAAUUACGAUAAAAUAAAUUUGUAAGAGCAGAGAGAAAGGAGUGAAUACAAAGCUGCUCCAUAUUCCGAGCUGCGAAAGUAUCGCUAUUGUUCGCGAUGAACCAACCAGGAAGAAGAAUAAAAUUGUGGGAGCAUUUACCGUCAUUGAUGUUACGUUAAUGAGGAGACUCAUAUUAUUUAUCAAGCACGUAACGAUUCUUUAAUGGAUUUCUAACAAAAAAGAUUGCUGUUUGGCAAGCAUUCUUCAGACGUUAUUCGAAUCCUUAUGCGACUCACGUUUUAUCGGAGAAUAUCCUGUAUCGAGAAGUCGGCGGCACAAAUCUCUUCAACACAAGGAUUUUUUACAAAAGAGUUACCGCUUCGUUACUGAACCGGAUUUGGAAACUAACGAACGUCAGUUUUUCCGACAAUUUUAGGUAUGGAUAAAUAUUGACGAAACUAUUAGAUUAUGUUUCACAUUUUCCACACUUCUAACGUCAAGAUCCAAGAUGGUUGAGGCAAAUAUUAGAAACUUUGCAGCCGAUAAUAUACACAUUUUAAAAUUUGCAAGAUAUAACCUUCUUUGACCUUUUGAUCGAUCGGUGCUUUUAUCGCUGCCGUAUCAAGCAUCUAUUUUAAGGAGGCAACAAAAUGCAUUUGAAGAGAGACUAUUUGCAAUAAAUUUACGAGCGAACUUAGAUACUGAUCCUCGUGAAAAGCAUCGUCGAUCUCGGGACGAUAGACUAGACUUGUUAACUGGGAGCCUCGAACAUAGAAAAUUAGUAGUCACCACGGAAACGACUGAAUAUAUAUUCAACCGCGGUGAUCCCGAUGAAACUCUGAUGACUCAUCGUACCAAUGUCCAAUCGCCUUUCAAUCGCGAUCUCACUGAUCGAAUAAUCAAGGGAGUCUGUCACGCACGAACAGUCAAGAACAGUGUAGAUAAAGAAAGAAAAAAAAGAAAAGGGAGAAGCAUUGCAUUUUGCACUUGUCUCGAAAGCGGUUAAAAUUAAAUGCACCGAUAAAUAAAAGUUAUAAACGAGUAAAUUGCAAAACGAUUUUUCUGCGUAAAAAUUUCUUUAUGUGCUCGCGCAACAAAAUGAAGGAAAAUCAGGAAUUGCCAUCGAUUGACUUUAUAAUGCAACUAUAUGUAAUUUACGGGUUGCUGUAUUUUCUCGUUCUUGUGUUCGACUAUUUUUUAUGGACGAGUAAAAAUGUUGGCUUCCCCCUUUUCGAAAUUUCAUCAAUAAAUUAGGCGGGCGAACAGUUGCAAAUUUUGAACUUUACUAUUUCUAUC